GGGAGACAUUGGGCCACUUGGACCAAAGGGUGACAGAGGAAGGCAAGGUUUCAGCUAUCCUGGAUCAAGGGGACCGCCUGGAGACAGGGGUGCACCAGGUAGGAGAGGACCCAGAGGGAGCAGAGGUGACUGUGGCGCCAAAGGAGAAUCUGGAAAUAAAGGGCAACCAGGAGCGCCUGUAAGA